CUCUUAGCAGCCAUCUCAGUUACGAGUGACUGUCACAGCAUCACAGUGCUUGUGUUCAACUGUUUAAUUGUUCUAUUUUAUUAUUAGUUGUUAAUCUCUUACUGUGCCUAAUUUAUAAAUUAAACGUUAUCAUAGGUGUGUACAGGGUUCGGUACAUGUGUGGCUUCAGGCAUCCACUGGGGAUCUUGGAACAUACCCUCCAUGGAUAAGGGGAGACUAGUGUAUUACUUAAUCAAGUCAAGUUGACAGCUAAAAUUAACCAUCACAGGAAGCAUAUGUCCUUUUCUAACUACUGAAACAAAUUUUGAGGUAUUGAAGUUAUUGCUUUCUUGCAGCUUUGAAAGCAAUCGUCUGUGAAACCAUCUGGGCCUGGCACUCUUCUAAGUGGUAACAAUGUGUGGGUGUGCACGCGUGCGCAUGUGUGUAUGUGUGUAUGUGUCAGAGAGAGAGAGAGAGACAUUAUUCGGUGCAUAGAUUUAUGGCUGAUUUAAAAAUAUUGGACUGUCUGGCCAGGCAUGGUGGCCCACGCCUGUAAUCUCAGCACUUUGGGAGGCCAAGGCGGAUGGAUUACCUGAGGUCAGGAGUUUGAGACCAGGCUGGCCAACAUGGUGAAACCCCAUCUCUACUAAAAAUACAAAAAUUAGCCGGGCAUAGUGGCGCAGUACCUGUAGUCCCAGCUACUCCGGAGGCUGAUGCAGGAGAAUUACUUGAACCUGGGAGGCGGAGGUUGCAGUGAGUCGAGAUGGCACCACUGCACUCCAGCCUGGGUGACAGAGUGAGACUCUGUCUCAGGAAACAAAAACACGACCAGGCGUGGUGGCUCACGCUUGUAAUCCCAGCACCUUGGGAGGCUGAGGCAGGCGGAUCACCUCAGGUCAGGAGUUCAAGACCAGCCUGGCCAACAUGGUGAAACCCCAUCUCUACAAAAAUACAGAAAUUAGCUGGGCAUGAUGGCAGGUGCCUGUA
rnacentral:lncRNA from 1 species